UACGUAGGGUGCGAGCGUUAAUCGGAAUUACUGGGCGUAAAGCGUGCGCAGGCGGCUUUGCAAGACAGAUGUGAAAUCCCCGGGCUCAACCUGGGAACUGCAUUUGUGACUGCAAGGCUAGAGUACGGCAGAGGGGGAUGGAAUUCCGCAUGUAGCACUGAAAUGCGUAGAUAUGCGGAGGAACACCAAUGGCGAAGGCAAUCCCCUGGGCCUGUACUGACGCUCAUGCACGAAAGCGUGGGGAGCAAACAGG
rnacentral:rRNA from 1 species